rnacentral:rRNA from 1 species
UGGGGAAUAUUGGACAAUGGGCGCAAGCCUGAUCCAGCCAUGCCGCGUGAACGAUGAAGGCCUUAGGGUUGUAAAGUUCUUUUGUCAGGGAAGAUAAUGACGGUACCUGAAGAAUAAGCACCGGCUAACUUCGUGCCAGCAGCCGCGGUAAUACGAAGGGUGCUAGCGUUGUUCGGAAUCACUGGGCGUAAAGCGCGCGUAGGCGGCUUAACAAGUCAGAGGUGAAAGCCUGGAGCUCAACUCCAGAACUGCCUUUGAAACUGUUAAGCUUGAGUGUCGGAGGGGAUAGCGGAAUUUCUAAUGUAGAGGUGAAAUUCGUAGAUAUUAGAAGGAACACCGGUGGCGAAGGCGGCUAUCUGGACGACAACUGACGCUGAGGCGCGAAAGCGUGGGGAUCAAACAGGAUUAGAUACCCUAGUAGUCCCUGAGCGGGCUGGCAAGGCGCAU